rnacentral:rRNA from 1 species
AUUGAACGCUGGCGGCAGGCUUAACACAUGCAAGUCGAGCGGAGCGAGGGUGCUUGCACCUUAGCUUAGCGGCGGACGGGUGAGUAAUGCUUAGGAAUCUGCCUAUUAGUGGGGGACAACAUCUCGAAAGGGAUGCUAAUACCGCAUACGUCCUACGGGAGAAAGCAGGGGAUCUUCGGACCUUGCGCUAAUAGAUGAGCCGAAGUCGGAUUAGCUAGUUGGUGGGGUAAAGGCCUACCAAGGCGACGAUCUGUAGCGGGUCUGAGAGGAUGAUCCGCCACACUGGGACUGAGACACGGCCCAGACUCCUACGGGAGGCAGCAGUGGGGAAUAUUGGACAAUGGGGGGAACCCUGAUCCAGCCAUGCCGCGUGUGUGAAGAAGGCCUUAUGGUUGUAAAGCACUUUAAGCGAGGAGGAGGCUACUCUAGUUAAUACCUAGGGAUAGUGGACGUUACUCGCAGAAUAAGCACCGGCUAACUCUGUGCCAGCAGCCGCCGUAA